GACGAACGCUGGCGGCGUGCUUAACACAUGCAAGUCGAACGGAAAGGCCCUGCUUUUGUGGGGUGCUCGAGUGGCGAACGGGUGAGUAACACGUGAGUAACCUGCCCUUGACUCUGGGAUAACUUCAGGAAACUGGGGCUAAUACCGGAUAGGAGCUCCUGCUGCAUGGUGGGGGUUGGAAAGUUUCGGCGGUUGGGGAUGGACUCGCGGCUUAUCAGCUUGUUGGUGGGGUAGUGGCUUACCAAGGCUUUGACGGGUAGCCGGCCUGAGAGGGUGACCGGCCACAUUGGGACUGAGAUACGGCCCAGACUCCUACGGGAGGCAGCGGUGGGGAAUAUUGCACAAUGGGCGGAAGCCUGAUGCAGCAACGCCGCGUGCGGGAUGACGGCCUUCGGGUUGUAAACCGCUUUCGCCUGUGACGAAGCGUGAGUGACGGUAAUGGGUAAAGAAGCACCGGCUAACUACGUG
rnacentral:rRNA from 1 species